UCAAGAUAGCUCAGACCAAAACACCGAGACUGAGCCAGCCAGGCUGGGUCAGCUUGGGGAGGCUGCCACCUCUGCCCCGGGGGCCAAGGCAGGCCACAGACAACCAAGUUGCCAUAGAGACAGAUAGACAGACAACUGAGGUCUGCCAGCUUUGUGCCCAGGGCCUGGUGGAGGGGGAGAGGGAUGUCAUCCUCUGGUUGGAGCUGGCCUGCUCAACCCUCCUAGCAGGGUGAAACUGACAUAAGAUGAAAACCAACCAUUUCAAGUGAACUCUGGAGCGGCAUUCAGCGAUGUUCAUGGUGCUCGGCGACCGUGUCUUCCAGCUGGUUCCGCCACACGUCAUCACUUCCAGAGGAGACCUGGCUGUAUUCUGCUGUUGCUCCCCCUACCCCCUCCCCCUCAAGGGAAGGGCUGGUUCCAUCUCAGCGCCAUGUCCUGUCCACUGAGACCCUCACCCUGUUUCCUGAGCUGUGUCCUGGUGCUCACCAAAUGGCCUGGGAGCUUUGCUUGAAUUCCCACGUGAGAUGCUGGCUCUGGCUCCUGGACAUCUGAAGCUCUGUUUCAUCCAAACAAACUUUUACCGACCAACGCCCCCUCCCCCCAGAUGCGGGGCAACUCCUAGGGGAAUUCCUUAAAAUCCACAACAUGCUUUAUCCUGGCAAAAGAUCUGAGAAGUCUGGUUGUAAUUAAACAUUUUAACUUUUA